UCCUUCCCUUCCUUCCGCCCGCGCCGCCGCCUCGGUCACCGCCCCGGCGCCGGAACCGCCGCUUGCGUCAUCACCCUCAGCCUUCAGCCCGCUCCGCCUCGGGAACUGUGAACCCCAGAUUGUGUUGUCUCAACACACACAGCAAAGGGACUGGCUCACUGGACCACCUUGGCUCACAGCAUGGAAGAUCCAUCUGAAAGGGGAGAUAAAUUAAAGUUAGACCACCACAACUUGUUUUAAACAGAAAUAAUAGAAUUGGAGCUGUUCAGCAAGUGCGCAAUGCCUGCUGUGCAAGGCAAAGGGAGAAAGAAGGAAAAGAACACAAAUGUUUGCACGUUUAGAAAAGUGCAGUUUUCUGUGAUACACAUUUUUAGCCUUGUCUCAACCAUUCAGUUUUAACCCCAGUAAAUUGCAGAUGGAAAAUAAUGACUUAAAAUGUAUUUUAUGUAGCCAUAGCAUUUGGUUUAAAUUACAUUUUUAACUAUCUCCAUUUCUUCAUUACAGCAGGUAAUAUAUCAAUAAAUAAUAAAGAAAAUGAAGACAAUCCAGACAGAUGGAGAAUUAAAGAGGAGCAGCACUAGCCCAGGAGAAGUGCACAGAGUUACAGAAGAAGGUCAAUUACUCUCGGAAUUAGUGUCCUUUGCAUCCCCACACUUGGAGUAAAACUAGUUAUCA